GAUGGUGGCCAGUGGGUGUUGGUGGAGUGGAGAGCGAAAAAUGUAUCAUUACUUUGUCAGGGAUUUAGGGCUUCGUUCAAAGAGAGUUGAAUAAAGAAAAAUAGAUGAAGAAAAUUUUGGUUUUAUUUUUAUGUUUUAACUUUUAUUGCAUUAAAUAUUAUUAUAAAAAUUUUAUAUUUCGGGUUGGGUUUAAGAUAAGGAGGUUGGAUAGUUUUUUAGGUUUUAACAUUUGGG
rnacentral:lncRNA from 1 species